AUGGAGUUCGGGCUCAAUUGGGUUUUCCUUGUUGCUCUCUUACAAGGUGUCCAUUGUGAUGUGCAGCUGGUGUAGUGUGGGGAGGUUUGGUGCAGCCUGGUAGUUCCUUAAGACUCUCCUGUGUAACCUCUGGAUUCACGUUCAGUGAUUACUACAUGAGCUGGGUCCACCAGGCUCCAGGGAAGGGCCUUGAAUGGGUUGGUACUAUAAGAAACAAAGCUAAUAGUUACACAACAGAAUACACUGCAUCUGUGAAAGGAAGAUUCACUAUCUCAAGAAAUGAUUUAAAUACUCUCUACCUGCAAAUGAGCAGCCUGCGAUCUGAAGACACAGCCACCUAUUACCGUGCAAGAGACACAGUGAAAGGACUUCCCUGUGAGCCCAGACCAAACCUCAUUGCGUGGUUUUCAGGACCAGCAGGGGGCGCUCAGGUUCAGAGAAGAGGACAGGCUGCUUUUCUUCUCCGUGUUUCAAUUUCCCCCCCAAAAUUACAGUGA